GUUGUCUCAGCUGUGAGAGAUGCUUUGGCAGACAAGCUUCAGCUGGCAGCACCUUCAAGGAUGGCUUCAGCUCCACAGAACUUCCUCACCGAAGGUCAUGUCCUUCAGAGGGUAGCCCACAUCAAAUGACGGUGGAGGAGGGUAGACAACUGUCAGACCAUUUCAGCCCAACGAAGGACAACUGUAACGGGUUGUUUUAGCCCAAGCUUCCGCAUGAAGUUGGAACUGCUCCUACUGCCAGAUCCUUCUUCCUGCCUCCCCUUUCCAUGAGCGCUGAUGAGUCUUAGAGUCCAUCUCAGCGUCCUUCCUGGAGAACCCGACUCGUGAGACAUGGGUGGUUAAAAACACAUCUCUGCAUCAGUAAUGACCUAGCUUCUCCACGUACUCAAGGAGGAUCAGGAGUAUGACUACAUUUCACUGUGCAGUGCCCCAAGGUCUUUCCAAGGUGAAUGUUGCCAGUGCCUAACCAGGUUCAACGAAUUUGCUGCUAUCCUGAGACUGAUUCUCAGUAGACACAAAGGACUGGCGCACACACUAUCAUAUGGCAGGAUGCGAUGGAAUGGGAAGGUCCUCAUUAUUUCCAAGAUAUUGUCCUAACAAUUGCUGGGUGCCCUCAAGAUUCUCCAAUGCCUCCAAUAUGUAAGCCUCAGGCCUAAGGGGAAACUACACAAUUCUGGACCUUGGCGGGGGAGUGAACUCAGCUGGAACAGGUUAAAAAUCCUACUCAAUCUCCAUGAUUGAGUGACAAUGCAACCAGAGAGCCACCAAAUGUGCUGCCUUCACGCUAGUGAAACCUCUUGCUGAUGCUCAGGGUGCACUGCCAAAGAGGAGGGGCAUGUGUGAUUUGUCAGAGCCGGUCACCAGGGGUGGAGAGUUGGAGAAGGGCAUCGAAAGGAUGUGACCACCAGUUGAAACUCUCACCAGAGCAGGGCAAUCAGAGACUCCUCACCCCUCCCGUCCUUGGAAUGUACAUUCCACCCACUGUUCCCGCACUAGGAUCCACUUCAAGCACACAGCCUGGAGAGAGUAAUGUGUUGCUGAGACCAUCUGGAUGGUUACAUGACUGAAUCCCAUUAAGGCCUCUAUAUAAACUCUUAAGAAUUUGGCAGAUGUGUGUGCAGAUCUACUCAUGUUGUGGCCAGCCAAGGCAAGCCUUGUAUGUAAGUUGCCUUGCUUAUUAAAACUGCUGCCUAGCCCCCCACUCCCACAAAAAUUGCAGUAUUUUUAGAUUGCAUUGGUGGGUUUUUCCCUAAGCAACUACAAAUAAGCUAGAAGUAAAGUGAAAUCGCUCAGGUAUCUGUCCCCUUGAGAAAGACUGCAUUCCUAAUUGCAGCCAACCGUGUUACACUUACACAUCAUAUAUAAAGUAGUAUUUAAAAAUUCAGACUGAAUUGGCUUUAAAUGUAGGCAUCUCUCUAAAUGCAAAUUUACUUUUUACACUUAACCUUUAAGUGUAAGCCUUUUUACACUAAGCCUUAGUUUCUUUACUUGUAAAAUGUUCUACAGUUGCUGUAUCAUAAAAAAUCUAAAAAACCUGCCACA
rnacentral:lncRNA from 1 species